AUAUACCAUGGCCUUAAUCAUCAUUUCUGUAUAAGUCCUUAGUAGUUUAUCUCAGCAAUCAGCUCCGGCCUACACAUCCUCUACGUAGGGGACCGAUGCAAAUAAGUGAAUGAUCCAGAAAAACAAAAAAAUAUAAGAAAGCAAAAAAAGGCAACUCCGGUAUAGGUGACCCUCACAAAGUCAUUUAAACCAAAGGAUUGUCAAAAAAAAAAAAUUUGCUAGAAAAAAAAAGAAAAAGAAAAAGAAAGAAACUCACCCACUAUUGGUUGGUUCUGAGGUAUCUGGCACUGAACUCGGUAGGGCGGAUUACGAUCCGAUCCCCUACAACUACAAUUGGGUCCAAUAAAAGGGUUUACACAUAUUUAUGUGCCAGGAAACCCAUGCUCAGAUCAUAAUCACUAACAGGUCAUUCUACUAUGAAGCAUGUACGGAUAACGGGCUUAAUGUGAUUGCGCCUGAAUGAAAAGGACAUAAAAGGAGAUGAAGAGGCAGGCCUAGGUGUUGUGGGAUAAUAUGGGUUGGUUAAUAUAGGAAUGAAGUUUAUGUCCGUAUUUGCGGAUUAGUGUCAUCAUGAUACCCUUAGUUCACUCAGUUAGUACCUAUCACUGC
rnacentral:lncRNA from 1 species